UACGUAGGGUGCAAGCGUUAAUCGGAAUUACUGGGCGUAAAGCGUGCGCAGGCGGUUUUGUAAGUCUGAUGUGAAAUCCCCGGGCUCAACCUGGGAAUUGCAUUGGAGACUGCAAGGCUAGAAUCUGGCAGAGGGGGGUAGAAUUCCACGUGUAGCAGUGAAAUGCGUAGAGAUGUGGAGGAACACCGAUGGCGAAGGCAGCCCCCUGGGUCAAGAUUGACGCUCAUGCACGAAAGCGUGGGGAGCAAACGAGG
rnacentral:rRNA from 1 species